rnacentral:rRNA from 1 species
GACGAACCGUGCAAACGUUAUUCGGAAUCACUGGGCAUAAAGGGCGCGUAGGCGGCUUCACAAGUCAGGGGUGAAAUCCGGCAGCUUAACUGUCGCAGUGCCUUUGAUACUGUGAGGCUCGAGGGAGGUAGGGGUCUGUGGAACUUCCGGUGGAGCGGUGAAAUGCGUUGAUAUCGGAAGGAACGCCGGUGGCGAAAGCGACGGACUGGAUCUCUUCUGACGCUGAGGCGCGAAAGCCAGGGGAGCAAACGGG